ACGAACGCUGGCGGCGUGCUUAACACAUGCAAGUCGAACGGAAAGGCCCUGCGUUUGUGGGGUGCUCGAGUGGCGAACGGGUGAGUAACACGUGAGUAACCUGCCCUUGACUUUGGGAUAACUUCAGGAAACGGGGGCUAAUACCGGAUAGGAGCUCCUGCUGCAGGGUGGGGGUUGGAAAGUUUCGGCGGUUGGGGAUGGACGCGCGGCUUAUCAGCUUGUUGGGGGGGUAGUGGCUUACCAAGGCUUUGACGGGUAGCCGGCCUGAGAGGGUGACCGGCCACAUUGGGACUGAGAUACGGCCCAGACCCCUACGGGAGGCAGCAGUGGGGAAUAUUGCACAAUGGGCGGAAGCCUGAUGCAGCAACGCCGCGUGCGGGAUGACGGCCUUCGGGUUGUACACCGCUUUCGCCUGUGCCGAAGCGUGAGUGACGGUAAUGGGUAAAGAAGCACCGGCUAACUACGUG
rnacentral:rRNA from 1 species